rnacentral:rRNA from 1 species
AAGGCCUGCAGCUUGCUGCGGGUACUCGAGUGGCGAACGGGUGAGUAACACGUGGGUGAUCUGCCUUGCACUUCGGGAUAAGCUUGGGAAACUGGGUCUAAUACCGGAUAGGACAGCUGUUUAGUGUCAGUUGUGGAAAGUUUUUUCGGUGCAAGAUGAGCUUGCGGCCUAUCAGCUUGUUGGUGGGGUAAUGGCCUACCAAGGCGUCGACGGGUAGCCGGCCUGAGAGGGUGUACGGCCACAUUGGGACUGAGAUACGGCCCAGACUCCUACGGGAGGCAGCAGUGGGGAAUAUUGCACAAUGGGCGGAAGCCUGAUGCAGCGACGCCGCGUGGGGGAUGAAGGCCUUCGGGUUGUAAACUCCUUUCGACAGGGACGAAGCGUAAGUGACGGUACCUGUAUAAGAAGCACCGGCUAACUACGUGCCAGCAGCCGCGGUAAUACGUAGGGUGCGAGCGUUGUCCGGAAUUACUGGGCGUAAAGAGCUCGUAGGUGGUUUGUCGCGUCGUCUGUGAAAUUCCGGGGCUUAACUCCGGGCGUGCAGGCGAUACGGGCUGACUUGAGUGCUGUAGGGGAGACUGGAAUUCCUGGUGUAGCGGUGAAAUGCGCAGAUAUCAGGAGGAACACCGAUGGCGAAGGCAGGUCUCUGGGCAGUAACUGACGCUGAGGAGCGAAAGCAUGGGUAGCGAACAGGAUUAGAUACCCUGGUAGUCCAUGCCGUAAACGGUGGGCGCUAGGUGUAGGGGGCUUCCACGUCUUCUGUGCCGUAGCUAACGCAUUAAGCGCCCCGCCUGGGGAGUACGCCGCAAGGCUA